UAAUAGCCUAUGCUUUGAUACUUAUGUGCCUACGAGUUGAUUGGUAGUGCUAAGUGGUAUCAGACCCCUUAGGGUAUUGUGCGGUAGCAUGGUAUCAGAGCCUGGGGAGGGAGAUCCUUUUCCCCUAAUGGUUCAUUCAGAGCUCGGGGAGGGAGAUGUAGUAUGAGUCAUAAGUUUUAAUUUUUUAUUGGAGUCAGAUCCUUUUUCUACCAUAGGUUGUUAAUAGAGCCCGG
rnacentral:lncRNA from 1 species